rnacentral:rRNA from 1 species
ACCAAGGUUGACCUCGGAUCAGGUAGGAAUACCCGCUGAACUUAAGCAUAUCAAUA